rnacentral:rRNA from 1 species
UACGUAGGGUGCAAGCGUUAAUCGGAAUUACUGGGCGUAAAGGGUGCGCAGGCGGCUUUGUAAGUCAGAUGUGAAAUCCCCGGGCUUAACCUGGGAAUUGCGUUUGAAACUACAGAGCUAGAGUGUAGCAGAGGGGAGUGGAAUUCCAUGUGUAGCAGUGAAAUGCGUAGAGAUAUGGAAGAACAUCGAUGGCGAAGGCAGCUCCCUGGGUUAACACUGACGCUCAUGCACGAAAGCGUGGGGAGCAAACAGGAUUAGAUACCCGCGUAGUCC